GGUUAAGCGACUAAGCGUACACGGUGGAUGCCCUGGCAGUCAGAGGCGAUGAAGGACGUGCUAAUCUGCGAUAAGCGUCGGUAAGGUGAUAUGAACCGUUAUAACCGGCGAUUUCCGAAUGGGGAAACCCAGUGUGUUUCGACACACUAUCAUUAACUGAAUCCAUAGGUUAAUGAGGCGAACCGGGGGAACUGAAACAUCUAAGUACCCCGAGGAAAAGAAAUCAACCGAGAUUCCCCCAGUAGCGGCGAGCGAACGGGGAGCAGCCCAGAGCCUGAAUCAGUAUGUGUGUUAGUGGAAGCGUCUGGAAAGGCGCGCGAUACAGGGUGACAGCCCCGUACACAAAAAUGCACAUGCUGUGAGCUCGAUGAGUAGGGCGGGACACGUGGUAUCCUGUCUGAAUAUGGGGGGACCAUCCUCCAAGGCUAAAUACUCCUGACUGACCGAUAGUGAACCAGUACCGUGAGGGAAAGGCGAAAAGAACCCCGGCGAGGGGAGUGAAAAAGAACCUGAAACCGUGUACGUACAAGCAGUGGGAGCACGCUUAGGCGUGUGACUGCGUACCUUUUGUAUAAUGGGUCAGCGACUUAUAUUCUGUAGCAAGGUUAACCGAAUAGGGGAGCCGAAGGGAAACCGAGUCUUAACUGGGCGUUAAGUUGCAGGGUAUAGACCCGAAACCCGGUGAUCUAGCCAUGGGCAGGUUGAAGGUUGGGUAACACUAACUGGAGGACCGAACCGACUAAUGUUGAAAAAUUAGCGGAUGACUUGUGGCUGGGGGUGAAAGGCCAAUCAAACCGGGAGAUAGCUGGUUCUCCCCGAAAGCUAUUUAGGUAGCGCCUCGUGAACUCAUCUCCGGGGGUAGAGCACUGUUUCGGCAAGGGGGUCAUCCCGACUUACCAACCCGAUGCAAACUGCGAAUACCGGAGAAUGUUAUCACGGGAGACACACGGCGGGUGCUAACGUCCGUCGUGAAGAGGGAAACAACCCAGACCGCCAGCUAAGGUCCCAAAGUCAUGGUUAAGUGGGAAACGAUGUGGGAAGGCCCAGACAGCCAGGAUGUUGGCUUAGAAGCAGCCAUCAUUUAAAGAAAGCGUAAUAGCUCACUGGUCGAGUCGGCCUGCGCGGAAGAUGUAACGGGGCUAAACCAUGCACCGAAGCUGCGGCAGCGACGCUUAUGCGUUGUUGGGUAGGGGAGCGUUCUGUAAGCCUGUGAAGGUGU
rnacentral:rRNA from 1 species